CCUACGGGAGGCAGCAGUGAGGAAUAUUGGUCAAUGGACGAGAGCCUGAACCAGCCAAGUAGCGUGAAGGAUGACUGCCCUAUGGGUUGUAAACUUCUUUUAUAUGGGAAUAAAAUGUUCCAUGUGUGGGAUUUUGUAUGUACCAUAUGAAUAAGGAUCGGCUAACUCCGUGCCAGCAGCCGCGGUAAUACGGAGGAUCCGAGCGUUAUCCGGAUUUAUUGGGUUUAAAGGGAGCGUAGGUGGAUUGUUAAGUCAGUUGUGAAAGUUUGCGGCUCAACCGUAAAAUUGCAGUUGAAACUGGCAGUCUUGAGUACAGUAGAGGUGGGCGGAAUUCGUGGUGUAGCGGUGAAAUGCUUAGAUAUCACGAAGAACUCCGAUUGCGAAGGCAGCUCACUGGACUGCAACUGACACUGAGGCUCGAAAGUGUGGGUAUCAAACAGGAUUAGAUACCCUAGUAGUC
rnacentral:rRNA from 1 species